GUUACUAGAAACCAAUACGGGUCUUUGGAUCCUAAUUUUAGUUUCCUUGCUUUGCUGCACCUUGCCUAAACUCCCUGUGAUAUUGACUUUGGACUGUUACCUGACUUUGUUUUUGGGUCAUGUUUUGACCUUGACUGGUUCUUUGUGCCUGAAGUUGGUUGGUUUGGACUGUGUUAUAACAGCAAAUCUGUCUUCAUUGAAGAUGUGAACAACAGAGGAAAGAGAAGCAGCUGCCCCCACUGGCCUCUGGUUGGCUCUGUGCCAAGAAGCCACCUGUAGCAAGGACAAAUAAUCCAUAUUUUGUGUGCUGGAUCUGCCUGCUAUUCAAUCAUUGUUGAAGGAUUGUGCAAACGAAGUAUACAACUUAAAUGAAGAAUUACAAUUAAUUUAGGACAAUUCUCAACUGCCAAGACUAUCCAUGGCUAUUGACUACAAGCAAACAGACCAAAUGAAUAUGGAGAGCUAAUAGAAGUUUGGCAGUAGAGUUUGGUGGAGGAGGUCAAAGGUGUGGGGGCAACAAAAGCAAGUUGAAGCAGAAUAGGAGAGUGUUGAGGACAGGAAAAACAGUGGAGGAAACUCCAUGGAAAAGGGUGACAGUUAGGAGCAGCAGAGCUAGAAGACACUCUGAACCAGUGGAACUAUGGAACUGCUUUCAGGUGCUUGAGGAUGAGACUCGAACACAGCCUGCAGGGGAGGAAUUACAGGAGACCCCGCAGGACAGUGAGUGAGAGGCUGAAGCUCAGUCAAGCAGAGGCAAUGAAACCACACUCCACAACAAGAGGAAGAGAAGAGCAGUAGUAGUGGGAGACUCCCUACUGCAUGCGACUGAAACCCAAGUAUGUUGAGAAGAUCUAUAGACUCACCAGGUACGCUGUCUUCCUGAAGGACGGAUUCGAAAUGUCACUAAAGGGUUCCCAACACUCAUAAAACCCACUGUCACACAUCCCUUCUUAUCUAUGCGGAAACAAAUGAUAUUGCCAAGUGGAGAUAUAAAGAAAUCAAGUCAGACUUUGAAGUUCUGGGGAGGAAAGUCAAGGACUUUGGAGUCCAAGUAGUUUUUUCAUCCAUCCUUCCAGUGCAUUGGAGUAGAAAAAGUAAAAAUUUCUAGUUCAAUCACUGGCUAUGAUGGUGGUGCUGACGUGAUUUGGAUUCUGGGACCACGGGCUAUGCUUCCUAGAAAAUGGACUGCUGGCAAGUGAUGGGUUGCAUCUCAGAAGGACUGGGAAGAAUGUGGAGAAGUUCAUCAGGAGGAUUUGACACUGAAUCCUAAGGGGAGACGUAAACUUGGUGGUAACGACUAAUAAAGACUUGUGCACAGUAAGAAGAACUGAGAGAGCGGCUCUAAUGGGCCCCAGUAAUAGUCUCCAUAAAAAUGUAGGAAGGAAGCCAGGCAGUAAAUCACAUGUCUGUAUACUAAUGCCCAGAGUAUGGGAAAU